rnacentral:rRNA from 1 species
UCCGGAGGAUCCAAGCGUUAUCCGGAUUUAUUGGGCUUAAAGGGUGCGUAGGCGGCUUUUUAAGUCAGGGGUGAAAGACGGUAGCUCAACUAUCGCAGUGCCCUUGAUACUGAAGAGCUUGAAUGGACUAGAGGUAGGCGGAAUGUGACAAGUAGCGGUGAAAUGCAUAGAUAUGUGGCAGAACACCGAUUGCGAAGGCAGCUUACUAUGGUUUUAUUGACGCUGAGGCACGAAAGCGUGGGGAUCAAACAGG